CGGGGACGGGCGUUCCACGGUCCGCCUGGCGGCCGGGGGUGCUGCCAUCCCUGCCGAGAGGGAUGUCCAGCACCCGGAGAGAGGAAGCGGCCACGUCGCAAAAAAUGUAAAAACACCCAGCAAUCAGCACCCUCAAAAAAGAAAAAAAAAAAUCAACAACAAAUAAACGAGCCCACAACUAACAGAACUGAAUUCACUGGAGCGCCGGGCAGCCCCGCUUUGCCUCCAGCCCUGGCCGGUUCGUGCCAGAACAGAAAGCACGGGAUCAGGAUGUAAAGCACCGGCCUGGUCCAUGCCCAGCGCUUCUCCCGAGGCCACCCGGCGCGUUCCGAGCUGUCACGGUACAAAAAUGCGAGGUUUCCACGUUGUCAGUGGCAACAGUACCUCAGUCAUCCCCAGCACAGCUCCCUGUGUGACACACCAGCUCCUGCUUUCCUGCUGAAGUCUGGAGGAGUGAGCAGGCACUGAAAUACAGCCAAGGACCUGAAAAGCCUUCACAGGAAUAUCUCAUCAAUAUGCUUCUAACAAAUGUGCCCAGUGAGAGAUGCUGCUUUUGACAAGGCAGCAGACAGACUCCUCUCAAAAGCUGCCAAGAAAUGGCACAGUCCUAAUUCCCCCUAUCACAAACAGGUGUUGCUGUCCAGGAGUUAAUACCAGAUGUUUCUGAGCCAGAUGUUUCACCUCAGAGAAGAUAAGGCUGAGAGGGACUGGGAGAGACAGUGUUUUUGUUAGAGCUCUGCUACUGAUAAGAGGAAGAUAAUGGCAAGUGGUUUUUUCUAACUGUAUCAAACAAACCUGGUCCCAAAUGGAAUAUCCCAUAUUUACAUACAUUUGCUUUCUAUAUGCCUCUAUAUCCAUCCUGAUAUGUAGUUAUUUCCUUGAGUUAAUAAAACAUUGUUCUUCCUAGAACUCUGCUAAUAACAACACAUGGCCUGGCUUUUCAAAUUUUAUAAUGGAGCAAAAUGAAAUGUCCAGAUAUUGCACUGGAAAGACUGAAAGGAGUUACUGUACUCAUCACUUGUCCAGUUAACCUGGUAAAAACAAUUUGUCACAACUCCUUGCCAGAACUGAUACAUACUUGGGAAUGAUAAAAAACAGUAACUCUUAAUAAAAGGCCAGGACCAAGGCUGGUUAUUUUCAGUGUGAAUCACACUGCAGUGCCACUUACAUUGAGCUGUUGUACUGCAUGGGAACCAAAAAGUCCCACAGAAACUUGCAUAGCCAGGACAAAACUCAAGGAUAAAGCGUAAAAGUGGGGGCUGAAAGAACAAAAUGGUAGCAGCAAUCCAAGCAAAAACAAUGAGUUUUAAGAGAGGACAGAAAAUGCAUUUCAGGUGUGUCUGUAUAUGUGCAUAUAAACAGAGAAACCUUACUCAGUCUAGGAAAAGACAACAUGAAAUCAGUAACAGAGCAGAUUGUAGCUGCACCCAAAAAAAGCACAAGUGAUACAAAACCCCUUUCCUAGCUACCAGAAAGAAAAAUACAGCAAAUAUUUUACUUGUGACUAGAAAAGGGCCUGACUUCUAGGGAAACCAGGUUAGCCUAAAUACUUUAGAUAUAUGGUAAGUUUUUAUACUUGACUCAUUAUGUUAUUCAUUUAAGCUUUCUGAGACCAUGGACAUAAAUAACAAAAUGAUAUUAUAUUAUUGAUAUGAUAUGAUAUGAUAUGAUAUGAUAUGAUAUGAUAUGAUAUGAUAUGAUAAUAUCUUACUCUAAAGUAAGAAGGCAGCCUGGCACCACUGCUCUCUUCUAAAGCAUCUCCCUCCUGAUGCCCAAAAGCUAGGCUGGAAAUAAAUCCCCACAGACUGCUGUUUACAGAGCAGGUAUUUUUUUAUUGCUUUGCCAGUGGUGAGUGUUUUGUGGCUAAUUGGUUUUGCACUUGCCAGUUUUUCAUUAGUACUAUACUUAUCUAUCUCUAAAGCAGGUGGACCUGGUGAGUUUUUUCUUCUUUUUUUGUCUAUUCAGCUGAAGCAACUAGUUAACCAUACACUAGCCAUUUCAUUGUAUAAAAAGUUCUAUCUGGUUGUAUAGGUAUGAAAAGCUAUGAUUCAGGUUAGACAGGUAUCAGGUUAUAUAGAUAUCUUAAAACUCAAGCUACAUAAGCACCUUGUAACUUUGAUGUAAGUUAGACAGGCAUCACUCCAAAGCAGGUACUCAGCAGGGCCCUUGUUGCAGGGUUAACACCCUUAACAGUUACUGCAGAGCCAAGAACUUCAUGUAUAACAGAAUUUAAAAGUGAAAUGAUCAGCUCAGAAACAGGAAACCUUGCCCAAAUGAUUUCUUUGCAUAGUUUGUUGGUUUUUAAGAGGGAUCCUGGUCUGAUAAGGUUAACUGGGGAUAGAAGCAGAUCCUUCAAACACAAAGGUUUUGUUACAACCAAAGCAGAUGGAGACACAGAGCCCCAGAAGCAGCAUCUGGAAAAGGCAGCUGCUUCAUUUAGAGCAGGAAGCAGCUCUGCUGGUUUUAGGUAGCCUUGUUAGCAAACUGGAACAGGAGUGGAGACUGCUCAGGAUGUGGUGAUAAAUGUGCUAUUCUGCUGCCCCUGCAGCUGAGGAAAACACAGGCUGUUCAGGGAGCAUCCCUCCUGACACUGGCUUAGGAGCAAAGUCUGUAUGACAUUUUGAACAGAAAAUGAAGCUGCUAUCAGCACAUCAAAUUGUGGGAGUUAGUUAAAGCAAAGACUAUGACCAUAGAAAACAAAACAACCCUUAUUUUUCUUACUUUCAUGUCACAGAUGAUUAUGUAGAAAAAUGUUUUAAGGUGACACCUUCUGGUUGGUUUUAUACCACUGACCUGAUGAUUGCCAAGAAUCCCAUCCAUUGUGCAUCUCUGCUUCUAUGAAAAGUUCCUGUGCAGCCACAACCUCUGCAUGAGGACUAAAGAAGAGAGUCCUGGCAGGGAAAAAGCCAACAAAACCCAACAAACCAACAGCUGCAGAAGAGACACACAGGCAGCUUCCACAGAUGUUGAUGUAUUUCACAGGAAGGCAGUUGGAGCUUUUUCUUAUGGAGUAGAUCCUUCUUAGCCAAUAACCUGUUAUUGUUUAAGUGUUCCCAUUCAGGCUGGACUCCAAAGGGUGGUCACAGCCUGAGCAGAUGCAUCAGAGCUUGAUUCUAACUGUAAGGAGCCCUUGAAAACCUACACCAGGUGAUGAAGAGAAAAAAUGCCAAUAUCUAUCAUUAGCAAUUGUAACAUAUUUUCUCAUUUACCAUAGUGCCACCUCUCAGAAAAACCAGCAUGGAUUAGCCAUAAUCAAUCUAGGGUGUAUGACCUUUGAGUAUCUGAGAAAUGUUAUACCCUUUUCACCUUGAAACUUUUACAAAAAUUCUUCACCCUACCCAUGGAAUAAAUAAAGCUAUUGCUGCAUCAGAGAAAAUCAGAAGGUUGAUCUGGUGGAAAUAAACUCAUUAAUCUCUAUAAUGAGAUGACAAGUUCACCACAUAGCUAGAAGUGCAGCACCUGUGUUUCCACUCCAUUUCAAUUACAUUCUUUGUACAAAUAAUAAAACUGAACUCAUCAUCAAAGGAUGAAUAUCAAAUUUUAAUGCAGCAGAUUUUUUAUCAUCCUUCUUACAAGCAAGAUGAAAAAUAAAUUUGAUUAAUCUACACUGUGUCCCAUCAGACAGACAUGGAUGGGUGAGGAUUGACAGUACCUUCAGGCAUCUAAUUCAGGUUCCAGUGUUCAAAGCCAAGGUCACUCUGGAAAGUCUUUGGGAAGCACAGACCCCAAACACCAGUGCCUUGAUUAACCCUGGGAGGCACCUACUGUAUAAUCUCAGUGGAAUCUGGUAAUUUACACCAAUACCCUGCAGAGCAACAAAUGGAAAGACAUGAAAUUCACUGAAAAUUCAGACUGGGAUGUGAAGCUGCGUGAAAAAUGCAGAGGAGUCUUAUUGAUUUCUGUAAAUCCCAGAUCACUUUCUUCUUCUGACCAUCUCUUAAAUAUUUCACGGUCAGGACCAAACAAAUAUUCCACUGAAAUCUGGCUUUUGACUCACAGACAGCCUACACAGGUUGUUGAGGUGAUGAUUUGAAAGCUACAAAAAUGCAGAGCAAUGUCAGAAGCUAUUUUUUUAUGAGCCAGACAUAAUAAAUACACACACAUUGAAAUCCUUGAAUUUCUUGAUUGAAAGGUCAAAACUUUUUUGAAAGGCUUAGGGAGAAAACAUUUUUUUUUUUCAUAAACAAGAUGGGUCACUUGGAAUAUGAAAGUAUACAUGAAAUCAUAAGUUAAAUCAAAAUGUUAAUAUUAACAGCUGAAGGAAGAGAAAAGAUGAUGAAAUUCCCAACCCUAAAGUGCCACUGAAGGCUGGUUCAAUGACUAUAAAAUACAGUGCAAAUCUCAGGGCAAGACAAUCCCCCUGAUGAUAAUUACCAGGUCCUGGUAUUAGCAAGAAAAGGGCAUUUAUAUCAUUACAGAUUUACCUAGGAAGAAAUGUUAUUACCCAUUAAAGUCCCCUAUUAUUCUGCUGUCAGUUACCAUCUGUUAAUGAAGCCUUCAUGAUCUGCCAGUUCAUUCUCUAAUUGUCACCCUGUGCCAGUCUCUGGUUCACAGCACCCUGUGAACUGAGCCUUCAUAUACUAUACAUUUCAUGAGCUGAGUUUGCCAGGCUUCACCUCUGAUGUGAUCUUUAUCUCCUCCCUAAGUGACAUCCUCCCACACAGCCAGCCCAUGGCUGCAGAGGGUCCUUUGUGGGCUGGUAAAUUACAGACUUCUCUGUUCUUCUGACAGUGGAAGAGUAUCCUUAUGAUCAAGCAUUUCUUUCAAAGUUUGCAAGUCUCCUGUGAGACAGUCAGCUCCAGUGUUUGUCAUUAAGAGGUAUUUAAUGCUAAUUAUCCUGCCAUUCCUCAGCUCUCUCUCCAGAGUAGUUUUUAAGUUUCCAUAGAUACCAGCUCGUAGCUCUGUUGAAUAGCACCCUUUCAAAAAAUUGUAUUUUCUCCCCUCAAGACAAGACUGCUUAUACCUAGAACCCUGUACAACUACAUUAAUGUUUUAACACCUCCUAUGUACUCUGAUGUCUCUCAGAUGCUUCUCUCCCAUGUGAUAUUCCCACCACUACACACAGUGAGGUGCUUCAGGUGUGUCUGGCAUUUCAAUAAAAGGUCCACAAAUAUUCAGCACACUGAGAGUGAAGCCACACAAAAGCUAGUCAAAAGGAAACUCUCAAAGAAACAGAUUUUAAUUACUUCUUUUCUCAAUUGUAGAUGGCAAAGGGAUGUGUAUAUGCUGGAAUUCUACAAUUAGAGCACUCUCCAGGGGAAUAAAAAGAAGGCCAGGGGUUAUUAAUCAAAAACCAAAGCAGGUGUCCAAAUAACCAGGCUGCAAUUCCCUCUUCCCCCACUCUCCCUGCAACAGCUGUCACUGCAGCACCUCUAGAGAUUUGAGGAACUCAAGCUCAGUUUUCUCCUGUCUUUCAGCUUCCAUCCUGAAUGCAUGAAUGAAGAGAGGGCUAAAUGGUUGUACCUCUGCCACAUCACAGAAGGAAACAUGAGCCUCAGACACACUGCAAUAAAUUUCACCUGUGUAACUCAAACAUGUUGCCUUUUCAGCUUUGAGUGGUUUGGUAACAGGCCAGGUCUGUGCACUGCCUUCCAACACCAAUGGCUAAUUCUGAUACUCUCUUCUGAUCUCUCUUCUGACUCUGAUAUCCUUUCCUCCAACACAUCAGGUAUCUCAGUUUAGUCACUUAUGAAUGAGUGUUUUCAGAAUUGAUGUUCAUUUGUUAUUUAAUCUUGCAUUGUCCUGCUGGAUGGAGGCUGCUCCCACAGCAAAGCCCUAAUUAUGUUUCCCUGGUUCUGGUUAUGAUCAAGGCUGAGAUUUUGAAAACCAAGGGCUAAUUAUGGUUAAUAUGGAAUAUCCAAACCAGAUCAGGCCCAGUGACUUAAAUCCUGUCUUCCACAGAAAGCUUUGCUGGGAAAAAGAGCAUGAAACAAAGCAAUCAUAUAAUGAUUACUUCCCCAGAAUGAAAUGAAACUUCCCCAGAACACCCUCCUAGUCUCCAAGGAUUUGCAGUACAGGGAAUUCUUGAGAAUGAAGUUGCAGGUUUGUGUGUAAUUACCCUCAAUGGAUAAAUUUAUGGCUAGAAUUUACAUGAACUUUCAGUAUCCACUAUGCUCAGUGACUUCUGAUGCAGAUAAAAUGCAUGUUUAGGGAUGCUGGGGAGAAUAUUGUGAGUCUGUGCUUACCAUCAGCUUGCCAUGGAAAUACCUUCCUGGCUGGGCCAGGGGAGAUACAGAAAGCAGCCGUGCCUCCAGCUUAUUCCUGGGGAAUGCCAUCUACUGGUGGAAAAGAAGCUCUUGUGCAAAUACAUUCAACUGCCAGAAACACUGUUUGCCUAGAACUUGAGUAUCAUUCUGACUAGAAUUGCCAGAUUGGCAGGAUUAUGUAUCUGGACAUCUUCAGUGCAAAUCAAAGGAGUGACAUGCCAGGGAGAAAAGGAACUUUUCCAAGGAUUGUGAAAGAAGGAACUAAAAAUGUGAAAUAUGCCACAGUCUCGGUACCUUUGAUUUUUGCAAUGCUCUCAUCACCAAUACAAUGUUAAGAGGUAUUUUUGGAAGUCUAUCCAGCCCUCACUGAGUGUAAUCAGAGAACAUUUGGUUCUCGGUAAUGUACUUGCAGCCAAGAGACAAAAUUGGGAUGACAUCUUUUGAUGCUGGCAACAUAAAUGAAAUUGCCUAAGUGAAACACUGAUCCAUGAAGUAUCCAGGAUGGGAAGCACACCAAUGCCAAACAUGCCAGACUGCUAAACUGGUAACACAGGGUACCAGGAAUAACAGGUGAAACUGCUGAAUGAAUCCAGAAGGAGCAAAAGGAAAUAAAAGUACUUGUAGUGCUUGUAUUUUGUUACCAUGCUGCUCAGUUCUAAUAAAAUUCUGGUGUAACCUUAAGGCACUUGCCUAUGGGAUGACUAUUUCUAUUUAUUGCAGCCUAAUUAAGAUUACUUAAAUCAUAUUUCAAAUCUCUCAUCUGUAUUCAUCAAACUCACAAGUCUUAUUUCUUGACAAAUUGUUAUUAAAGCAAUAAAGGCAGACAUGGAGGGGACCUCAGGCUCGUGGUGUUUGGAUGAAUUCCCAAGGAGUGGGACCUGGCAGUCGUGGCCUCCCCUGAACUGCACAGCACAGAGCAGACCCCACUCAGCCCAGCCUGGCCCCUCUGCCCUCUUUGUCACAAGAGGGUUUCCUUAAGCAGCAAGUCACACUGGCAGAGGAUGGAAACCAGUCUCCUGAUGUCUGAGCAGGCAAGGCUCUCAGCAAGAACCAAAGGGUUGCAGUCUGCUUUCUUUGUGCCAGAGCCAUUUCCUUGGCAGUGCCUUAAAACCAGGCUGGCAUAGCUACUCCAGCUGCUGCUGACACCCACACCAAAGAGCCACAGCCACAUCCCUCACAGGACCAAGGUCUAGUGGAUGUUUCCCUACUGAAGAAAAGAAAGUUCCUCCUUGGAAAAUGGCAGGUAACACUGUGAACUCUGAAGCAGAUGCCCUUCCACUGGCACUGAUCAAACAGUUGACUUUUCUCUGCAUGUGUGGAACAAGAAGAAAAUGUGAACUGCAUCAUAUGCAGGAAGACUUCUACAAAACAUUUUUUAAAAUGAAGGGAAUCAGUAGGCAAGCAAAACUCUGGCUGGCAAAGGGUAUAAGGCGAAUAGGAAAUGCUCAUGGCAGAAUUUAAUUUUCCUCAUUCAUUUAACUAGGAUUAGAUCCAACAGCAACAUUUGAUUUCCCAAGUGAUAAAGACUUAUAGGCAUUUUCUCAGAGAGUCUAAAAAUCAUUCCUUUUUUCUUGGCCAAAAUACAAUCACUCAUAGCAAAACAAUAGUUGUCAACAACCUCUAAGCAUAAAACGGGGCUAUCAACAAGUAAACAUUUUGUCAAGAUUUAUAACAUUACUAAUGUGUAAUUUCUUUUAAAUAAGUGAAGGUUCCAGCUAUGGCAUCCCACUCUUGAAGUGUGCAACAAUUGCCCUUUAGCUUCAGUAAAGCUUUGGUACCAGGGAGCAUGUGGCACACCAAGCAAACUGCCCCCAUGUGAAAGUAUCUCUGUAAAGAGCAACAAGAAGGACAUUAUGUACACUGUGCUACUUGGAAAAGGCACAACGAUUUAGCUUUGGGUUGAGAUGCAGGCAAAGACCCAAUGUAAAUAUAUUUAUUACCUUACUUAACUGUAAGAAGGUACCAGGGAGGUCUUCAGCACCCUCUGGCCCAACAGGCUCUACAGCCAGCUGGAGUGUACCCCCUCUCCAUGUGGUUUCCCAAGUAUUUUUGGAAGCUGAUUUUGCCCUGUUCUGGGAAAAGUGUUAUCUGUCUGCCGUGUGGGAAAAUCAUUCUGUUUUUCUGUCAUUGCUCUGGAUAGACUCACCCACAUAUGCUCGAGUCAUGGGAAAUGGCAUGAUUCAAACAGCUCUCAGAAAUUACUAAAGGAUGUCUUUAGAAGUGAAAACAAUUAUUAGGAAAUCACAGGGGGGAAAAAAGUUAAAAUUUCAGAAUACAUUAGUAUUGAUAUGUCUUGAAAAACAACACUACAUCUUUCAUUUUCUUGGGCUAUUGUCAUUCCUCUUUACUAACUCUAAUAAUUUACAUAUCUUAGAGCAAGAAAAUGCUUGAAGUCUGGAUUUUAAGACCUGUUGCUCUAAGAAUGCUGCCCACCUAAUGCACACCUGUGUCUGCUGUCUGCAAGGUCUCUGGACAGCACUAGCACAGUCUUCAACAAUAAGUCUCCAAAAUGCAGAGUUGUGGACUGAUAGUUCAUGUUUUUAGGAACAGAGUUUUGUUAAGAUGUCAUCCCUUGCCAAAGCACCAAUAAUAAAGGAGCAUUAAAAGGCAGUAAAGGCAAUUAUGGGACUUACAAGUUUACAUGCUACAAACUCACUGAGCUGCUGUAAAAUUGCUUUACAUUAGAGGAGUUAAAGAAUAUAGCAAUUAUUCAUGAAAGAAUAAAUAUUUCCCUGUUUUCCUGGUG